rnacentral:tRNA from 1 species
AGGAAUUUAGGUUAAUUAAGACCAAGAGCCUUCAAAGCCCUAAGCAAGUAACUUUACUUAAUUCCUG